UCACACUUUGCAGAGCCACGUAUAGUAGGCUCUGACUAUAGUUGCUCUUUAGUAAUUCUCUGGUAUAUUGAACUCCACCACGUCUCCAGGAUUCUCCACUUGGAUCAGGAUACAGGAGAUAAAAUAACUCCAAUAAAGAGUGGGGAUACUUGUUCAAAAUUUAAUAAUAUUAACAAAUAUACAGGGACAUAUAUAAAGUGCAUAAAACAAAAUAGCAGCACUAAAUGUAC